UACGUAGGGUCCGAGCGUUGUCCGGAAUUAUUGGGCGUAAAGAGCUCGUAGGCGGUCUGUUGCGUCGGCUGUGAAAACCCGGGGCUCAACCCCGGGCCUGCAGCCGAUACGGGCAGACUAGAGUUCGGCAGGGGAGACUGGAAUUCCUGGUGUAGCGGUGAAAUGCGCAGAUAUCAGGAGGAACACCGGUGGCGAAGGCGGGUCUCUGGGCCGAUACUGACGCUGAGGAGCGAAAGCGUGGGGAGCAAACAGG
rnacentral:rRNA from 1 species